GCUGAUGAUGAUUCAAUCCAGUUGUUUGAGGUGUAGUGGAGCCGAGACCCUGUAAAGGGAGAACCCCUCGGCAAAGCUGCAUUUCACGUGAUAUCAAUGGAUUUAACUGAGGU